GGGAAAGUUGAACUAAUAAAGUUUGUACGAGUUCAGUGGAGGAGACCGCAAGUUGAGUGGAGGAGGCGGCGGUGGGGCCCCGGACCAGGUGCCUCCAUGGCAGGCUCUGAAGAGCUGGGGCUCCGGGAAGACACGCUGAGGGUCCUAGCUGCCUUCCUUAGGCGUGGUGAGGCUGCCGGGUCUCCUGUUCCAACUCCACCUAGCCCUGCCCAAGAAGAGCCAACAGACUUCCUGAGCCGCCUUCGAAGAUGUCUUCCCUGCUCCCUGGGGCGAGGAGCAGCCCCCUCUGAGUCCCCUCGGCCUUGCUCUCUGCCCAUCCGCCCCUGCUAUGGUUUAGAGCCUGGCCCAGCUACUCCAGACUUCUAUGCUUUGGUGGCCCAGCGGCUGGAACAGCUGGUCCAAGAGCAGCUGAAAUCUCCGCCCAGCCCAGAAUUACAGGGUCCCCCAUCGACAGAGAAGGAAGCCAUACUGCGGAGGCUGGUGGCCCUGCUGGAGGAGGAGGCAGAAGUCAUUAACCAGAAGCUGGCCUCGGACCCCGCCCUGCGCAGCAAGCUGGUCCGCCUGUCCUCCGACUCUUUCGCCCGCCUGGUGGAGCUGUUCUGUAGCCGGGAUGACAGCUCUCGCCCAAGCCGAGCAUGCCCCGGGCCCCCGCCUCCUUCCCCGGAGCG
rnacentral:circRNA from 1 species